rnacentral:rRNA from 1 species
GAUGAACGCUGGCGGCGUGCCUAAUACAUGCAAGUCGAGCGAACGGACGAGAAGCUUGCUUCUCUGAUGUUAGCGGCGGACGGGUGAGUAACACGUGGAUAACCUACCUAUAAGACGUGGGUAAUUUCGGGAAACCGGAGCUAAUACCGGCUGAUAUUUUGAACCGCAUGGUUCAAAAGUUAAAGAGGCUUUUGCUGUCACUUUUAGAUGGAUCCGCGCUGCAUUAGCUAGUUGGUAAGGUAACGGCUUACCAAGGCAACGAUGCAUAGCCGACCUGAGAGGGUUAUCGGCCACACUGGAACUGAGAAACGGUCCAGACUCCUACGGGAGGCAGCAGUAGGGAAUCUUCCGCAAUGGGCGAAAGCCUGACGGAGCAACGCCGCGUGAGUGAUGAAGGUCUUCGGAUCGUAAAACUCUGUUAUUAGGGAAGAACAUAUGUGUAAGUAACUGUGCACAUCUUGACGGUACCUAAUCAGAAAGCCACGGCUAACUACGUG